CCAACUCUCAGCUGUGUAGCCGAGCAGGAGGAAACUGUCCAGAAGAUCAGAGCUAACAUCUCUGUUCCUGGUCACAUUCAUCCUACGGCUGGUUUUAUCUGCAAAGAGUUUUAGAUUUCAGGUUUCAGGAACAUUCACACCUUCAGUUGUUCAGACUGAGAUGUCCAAUCUGCUGUAUAUGAUCUGUGUUCCAUUCUGAGUCUUACAUUAACUUUCUAUCUUCUGUUUCAGGGUCUGACAAUGUUGGAUUGAUCGUUGGAUUGAGUGUUGGAUUGAGUGUUGGAUUGAUUGUUGCUGCAGUUCUUGCUGUUGUUGUUAUUCGUAAAAAUAGGCUUAUAGCCAAGUAUAAAAACGGAUCACAAGACCCAGGAAACCAAUCUAGAUAAAUCUGCAUGGAGGAACUUCUCCAAUCUCCGUGUCUUCGUGGACUCCUCGUCUGACUAUUUCUUCUGUACUGAGGCCGCUGUGAGGUUUCGCGCACUCAGCACGGAAAUGACUUUACUUUCACUUUCAUAAAUAGGAUCUCCAAGUUUAAUUAAAUAAGAAGAAUGAAAACCAGCCCACCUGCAGAAGUGACUCCAAUGUUAGUAAAGUAACUUGUAGUUUGACCAUGAAGUGACCAAAACAUUAUUACCACAGAAUCUGAAAUUCAAAAGGCAGCUGGUGAAGAAUGGACUGUUGGACUGUUAUUAUUUAGAUACAGUCAGUCAAUAUAGAAUCUUUUUUUUUUUUUUUUUUAAAUAACUACAUUUUGUUUAUGAUCUUCAGCUAAAGGAAACAAGACUGCACCAGCUGUCUCACUUAAUUGUAAUUUUAAAGGGGACAUAUAAUGAAAAACUCUCAUUUUCAGUCAUGGUGCACAAACAUUAGAGUUUCUGGAGGGCCGACCAACCCAAAACCUGAAAUCAAACAACCCAGACAGUUCUUUGUGGGCGUCCUCAAUCUGAAAACAUGUUAUUGAUUACUGGCCCGCGUACUGCAGCGAUCGUUUCGGUGUCUCCUCUAAUUCUUUGGCGAGCCGCGAGCAAAUGUGUCAAGGCAGGAAGAUAAUCAUAUACAGGAAGGUAAUCAUAUACAGGAAGGCCACAGCACAGCCGGAUAUAUUUUAUAUAUAAAGUCCAUGGAUUCAAAAUUCUGAAUAACCGAUCUUGUUUGCAGUUGGAGGUGUCCUGGCAGCAUUUUUACAGACGUCUCUUUAACAAUGGUGGUCUACGGGGGAAAUCCUUUCUGGGUCACUGGGAGAUUUUUUUGUUGCAAUACUGCGAGAAAAUUAGCAGAAAGGAAAAUAGUAAAGUAAGUAAUAGUGUUUUUUGAACAUUAAAACAUGUAAACAUGUUCUUGUAGUACAAGUAUGAACCUGAAAAUGAGCAUAAUAUGUCUCCUUUAAAAGAUAAUGUUGAUAUACCUGCUGUCAGGGUCGGUGGUUUGAUCCCCGACUCUUCUUGUCCACUCGUCCAAGUGUCCUUGAGCAAGACACUGAACCCCAAAUUGUUCCCGAUGGUCAGACAGCACCAUGCAUGGUAGCUCACUGUCAUCGGGGUGUGAAUGGAUGAAUGACAUAUAAACUGCUUUAUUAAUAUUAUUAAUAUUAUUAUUACUGCUGCUUGUAGUUGUUAAAAGUCCUCACUGAGCUAGAUGUGAUGGGCAUUAGAAAACAGAACUUUUAAGACCAACGCCUGCUGUCACCAUGUAAAAGAAAUGUGAAUUAUUUUGUAGCCAAAGUAAAAUGUAAUGUGACUUAUUUUUUUAUUUUUUAAGUUGCUAAGUCAAGAGUUUGUCAGGUUGAACUAGACACUGUUGUUGGCUGUAAUAUCAGAGUUGUGUAUGAACAGAAUGUUUUAUCUGAUUCACUCUCACGGCAUCAUGUAAUUUCAGGCGGCUCUUCAUCAUUUCUAUCUAAAUAAAAGAUGAAAUAUGUCAAACUGUA